GACGAACGCUGGCGGCGCGCUUAACACAUGCAAGUCGAGCGAGAACCAGCCCUUCGGGGCUGGGGAAAGCGGCGAACGGGUGAGUAACACGUGGGUAAUCUGCCCUCGGCACCGGAAUAGCCCGGGGAAACCCGGAUUAAUGCCGGAUGGCCUCUCCGCCCUUCGGGGCGGUGGGAAAAGGUCGCUUCGGCCUCCGGCCGGGGACGAGUCGGCGGCCGAUGCGCUUGUUGGUGGGGUAACGGCUAACCAAGGCGACGAUCGGUAGCUGGUCUGAGAGGACGAUCAGCCACACUGGGACUGAGACACGGCCCAGACUCCUACGGGAGGCAGCAGUGGGGAAUCUUGCGCAAUGGGCGAAAGCCUGACGCAGCGACGCCGCGUGCGGGAAGAAGGCCUUCGGGUUGUAAACCGCUUUCAGGAGGGACGAAGCCACUCGGGUUAAUAGCCUAGAGGGUGACGGUACCUCCAGAAGAAGCCCCGGCUAACUACGUGCCAGCCGCCGCGGUAAGAC
rnacentral:rRNA from 1 species